UACCCGCUGAAUUUAAGCAUAUCACUAAGCGGAGGAGAAGAAACUAACCAGGAUGCCCCUAGUAAUGGCGAAUGAAGCGGGCAUAGCUCACGCCGCCAAUCUGGAGGUCGCCUCAGCUGACCCCCCGAAUUGUAGUCUAGAAAGGCGCCAUCGGCCGCGUCCGCCGCUCAAAUCCCUUGGAACGGGGUAUCGGAGAAGGUGAGAAUCCUGUGCCGUGGCGGUUCGCGGUCGCACGAUGCGUCCUUGCCGAGUCGGGUUGCUUGGGAUUGCAGCUUGAAGUGGGUGGUAAAUUCCAUCUAAAGCUAAAUACUGGCGAGAGACCGAUAGCGAACAAGUACCGUGAGGGAAAGAUGCAAAGAACUUUGAAAAGAGAGUUAAAGAGUGCUUGAAAUCGGCGAGAGGAAACCCGUUUGCGCCCGGUUUCGCGCCGUCGACUCAGCCGGUCCUCGGAUCGGUGCACUUUGUCGGCGCGGGUCAUCCUGGGCUGCGUGGGCGGGAGAUGCCCGGUGGGAGGGCUUCGGCGAUCCACCGGGAGCGCCGCGCGUGCGGCUCCGGCUGACGGAACGGGCGCAACCGACCCGUCUUGAAACACGGA
rnacentral:rRNA from 1 species